rnacentral:rRNA from 1 species
CCUACGGGAGGCAGCAGUGAGGAAUAUUGGUCAAUGGCCGGAAGGCUGAACCAGCCAUGCCGCGUGAAGGUCAGUGCCCUAUGGGCGUUAAACUUCUUUUGUGCGGGAGCAAUAAUGGUCACGUGUGGCCAGACGACAGUUCUGUACGAAUAAGCCUCGGCUAACUCCGUGCCAGCCGCCGCGGUAAUACGGGGGAUGCAAGCGUUAUCCGGAUUUAUUGGGUUUAAAGGGUGCGUAGGCUGGGAGGUAAGUCAGCGGUGAAAUUCCCCGGCUCAACGGGGUGAAGUGCCAUUGAUACUGCCUUGCUGGAAUGCGGAGGCCGUGGGAGGAAUGUGUGGUGUAGCGGUGAAAUGCAUAGAUAUCACACAGAACACCGAUUGCGAAGGCAUCUCACGAAUCCGCGAUUGACGCUGAUGCACGAAAGCGUGGGUAUCAAACAGGAUUAGAUACCCCUGUAGUC